GUCUACAGCCAUGCCGCCCUGAACAAACCCCAUCCUGUCCGAUCUUAGAAGCUAAGCAGGGUUAGUACUUGGAUGGGAGACCACCUAGGAAGACCAGGUGCUGUAGGUG
rnacentral:rRNA from 1 species